rnacentral:rRNA from 1 species
AUUGAACGCUGGCGGCAGGCCUAACACAUGCAAGUCGAACGAGUGGCGGACGGGUGAGUAAUGUCUGGGAAACUGCCCGCUGGAGGGGGAUAACUACUGGAAACGGUAGCUAAUAACGCAUACCAUCGGAUGUGCCCAGAUGGGUGUAGCUUGUAGGUGAGGUAACGGCUCACAGAGGCGACGAUCCCUAGCUGGUCUGCGAGGAUGACCAGCCACCCGGGAACUGAGACACGGUCCAGACUCCUACGGGAGGCAGCAGUGGGGAAUAUUGCACAAUGGGCGAAAGCCGGAUGCAGCCAUGCCGCGUGUAUGAAGAAGGCCUUCGGGUUGUAAAGUACUUUCAGCGGGGAGGCGUUACCCGAAGAAGAAGCACCGGCUAACUCCGUGCCAGCCGCCGCGGUAAUUC